ensembl:lncRNA
UUUUUUCUUAUUGUGUCUGGAUAUAGAGUCCUAGAUAGGAACAUUUUUCCUCACUCCCAGGUUUUAAGUGAUUUCACUCAUGUUAUCUUCUAAUACUAAUAAGGGUCAUUUUCAUACAUUUAGACCCUUGAUCCAUUUAGAAUGUAUUCUGGCAUAUGCUAUGAAAUAUGAAUCCAAUUUUACCUUUGUUUAAAUGGCUAUUCAUUCCAAAUUUUCUAAGUCAAAACUUUUUAAUUAAAAAGAUGGGCUUUUAAAGUGGUCUUCUCUCCUGAUUUGAAAUACCAUCUAUAUCAUUUAUUAUAUUUCUAUAUCAUUUAUUAUAUUUCUAUAUCAUUUGGCUCUAGUUUUGUGCUUUCUAUCAUUCCAUCAGUCCGUCUCUUCAUGUAGCAGUACCAUACAACUGAAUUAUAGAGGCUUCUAUAAUAUGUUAAUGUUUGAUAGGGUCUAUGCCUUUCCCCCAUAUUAUUCAUCCUUUCCAGACUUCUGCUUUCCUGGCUAUUCUUGCUGAUUUAUUUACUUAUCUUUUAACACAAAGUUUAAAAUGCAUUUAUCUAGCUCUAGAAAAAAAAUCUGAUUUUUUUUUUUUUUUUAUCGAGAUGGCAUGCCAUUUAUUGCAGACAAAUUCUUUACCGUCUGAACUGCCAGGGAAGCCCAAAUAACUUAAAACUGGUAUUUUUCUCAUGUUGCAUCUUCCUAUCCAGAAAACAGAAUAUUAAAUAUCUUUCUAUGUAAUCUGGCUUUGUUGUUAUUGUUUAGUCUCUAAGUCAUGUCCAACUCUUUGCAACCCCAUGGACUGCAGCCUGCUAGGUUCCUCUAUCCAUGAGAUUUCCCAGGCAAGAACAGUGGAGUGGAUUGCCAUUUCCUCCUCCAAGGAGCUUCCUGAUCCAGGGAUUGAACCCAUGUCUCCUGCAUUGGCAGGCAGAUUUGUUACCACUAAGCCACCAGGGAAGACGAUGAUCUGGCUUACUUGUAUAUAAUUUUUAAAAACUAAAGAGACAAUGUUUUGUAAUUUGCCUUUACAUUUUUUAAAAUUUUAUUUUUAUUUAUUUUUCAUUAGAGGAUAAUUACUUUACAAAGUUGUGUUGUUUUCUGCUGUGAAACAUGAAUUGGCCAUAAGUAUUCAUAUAUCCCCUUCCUCUUGGGCCUUUUCAUUUUCUUAACUGUAUAUCUUGGAGAAAUUCUACCUCAAUCUACAUAGAUUCAUCUCAUUUUUUAAGGUUGUGAAGUAUUCCCUUAUAUGAAUGCACCACAAUAUGUUUGUGUCCUUUUGAUGAACAUUGUUUUUGCUACUAUAAAUAUACUAUGAUGAAAGUUUCUAGACACGCAUGGGCAAGUAUUUCUGCAGAAUCAAUUCCUAAAAGGGAAAUUUCUGGGCCAAAGUAUAUGCAGAGUUUUGCCAAAUUGCCUUCCAAGAAUCAUACCAUUUAUCACUCCAACAAAGGUUACAUGAGAAUGAGUUUUCUCACAUGCUUGCCAGUACUGUACAGAAUCAACAUUUAUCAUCCAUAUCAUCUGAUACUUUAAUACACUAGCACCAUCUCACCUAGGCCAGCUUCUCUAGUCCCCACUGAGCCUUCUGUGAAAUGACUGAACAGAAGCUACCAGAACUGCUCUGCCUAGGAGUAUGUUUGAUGGUAUUACACGGAUUUGCAUGGCACCUGGGGCACCUGGGAGUCCAGUGGUCAUGUAUGGAUGUGAGAGUUGGACUGUGAAGAAGGCUGAGUGCCGAAGAAUUGAUGCUUUUGAACUGUGGUGUUGGAGAAGACUCUUGAGAGUACCUUGGACUUCAAGGAGAUCCAACCAGUCCAUCCUGAAGGAGAUCAACCCUGGGAUUUCUUUGGAAGGAAUGAUGCUAAAGCUGAAACUCCAUUACUUUGGUCACCUCAUGCGAAGAGUUGACUCACUGGAGAAGACUUUGAUGCUGGGAGGGAUUGGGGGCAGGAGGAGAAGGGGACGACAGAGGAUGAGAUGGCUGGAUGGCAUCACGGACUCGAUGGAUGUGAGUCUGAGUGAACUCUGGGAGUUGGUGAUGAACAGGGAGGCCUGGCGUGCUGCGAUUCAUGGGGUUGCAAAGAGUCGGACACGACUGAGCGACUGAACUGAACUGAACUGAACUGGGGAACCCUGGGAGAGGAUGGAGAAUAUGCCUCAGGGUUAUACUAGUCAGGAGCAAGGAAGUUUUUUUGUCUUUCAGUUUCCCAUCUACGAAAUGGAUUGAGUGUUACUUUCGGGGUCACUAACUCUAACACUUUCAGCUCAGCCUGCAACCACGCUCCCUGUCCAGGUGGAGAAACACAGGCAUUCCAAGUCAUCAGUGAGCUGAAUGCUGAGAGGGUAGGAUGAGGUGCCAGCAGUGUUGGCUGGAGAUCUCUGUCAGGAAGCCACACUUUAUGCCUGAAGAAGAAAAAUAAAAUAAUUUUUAUAUUGCCACAGAGGGUAAACACAGCACAAAAAGAAAUAUAAGGAGUUCUUGGAACAGAUAUAAAUAAAAUAUUACAGGAUUGUGCAAAUGAGGGGAGGGGACGAGAUGAGAAUGACAGAGAGAAACUAUUCAGUGAGGUGAAAGAAAAAGGUGGGGGAGGACUUCCCGGUGGUCCAGUGGUUAAGACUUUGCCUUCCAAUGCCAGAGGCGUGGGCUUGAUCCCUGGUUGGAGCGCUAAGAUCCCAUAUACUUUGCGGCCAAAAAAACCAACACAUAGAAGCAAUAUUGUAACAAAUUCAAUAAAGACUUUAAAAAUGGUCCACAUCAAAAAAUUCUUUAAAAAAAAGUCUACAGCAGGCACUGUGCAAACCUCAGUAAUCUAUUGAUAAUGAUGUCCCGCUUAAAGUAAACUUUGAACAAUUCCUGAUCACCUAGAGGCAAGAACGCUGUGGGAUAAAUAGACGGGGAGAAUGAACAAUGAGGAGAACAUUUCACUGGUCCAGAUAAAAGGUGAUUCUCUUAACCUCACCUGGUGAAAGGUUUUCAUUAACCCCUUAAAGAGGAGAAAGUUUAUGUAUGAACCUCAUUGUAUGUUUUUAUGCGGUUUAUGCGAUAUUUUAAACUAACCCAGUCAUUCUCAACUAACUCUUCUAUGAUUUUCACAUAAAGCCCUGCAUUAAGUUGUAGGCAAUGUUGUUGUUGUUACUUAAUUGUAUGUUUGUUUAGUAAUUUAAAUUUUUUUUUAAUCUUAAUGAUGAAAGUCAAGGUUCAGGUGCUCCAAAAAAUACAACUGGUAAAACAGCUCUCCUGGCAGCAGGCUGCUUCAUCAAGCCCAUCUAUGCUGAGCAUGUCCGCAAUGAGGCAGGGAUAGACUGGUGGGUCUGGGUGUCAGUAUUUCAUGUUGUUCUUCUAGGCCUAUGGACACACUCAAGGUCGUGUGUUUGGUGGGGAAAGACUCCAGGGCUGUGAGUCUUUAUUGACCUAAUAAGAGUAGAGGCUUGUCCUGAGGAAAUGGCACCCAAAGCGGCCCAGAAGCAGUAUACAUUUUGAAAACUGACUGAAGAGGUACUUCAUUCCUACAGUAAACAGCCAGGCUGCUUUGUCACCUGGUGAGGGGCGCUGUCCUGUGCAUGCAAAAAUGCCCCUGGUGAAAAUAAAAGGACUGUAUCCUGAGCAUCAAAGCAUAGUGCUUCCUGGCAUAUUUAACAAACUUUCAAAAAGGAAUCAAAGCAAAAAUAAACAAACCCCAAAGAUUUCCCUGGAUGAUUACUCCCAAGAAUUUAAUUUUUUGCCAUUAAUUAGUACCUGGCUUAUGAGAGAGAUCAGAAGAAAUGAGAGUUGUUUUCCUUAAGGAAUUGUGCAAGCUAAGGAACAG